rnacentral:lncRNA from 1 species
AUGAAACGGGAAGCAAAAGCUUUUCCUUAUGAUAAACCCAAAGCUGUACUCUUCCACAAGUCAGUGAAGUCACCUCAACGUCCUACCCAUAUCACCAUGAAUAUCACCAGAAACACUAAGCCUCAUCAGCUUUUGGAUUCUCUCUAAGGCCAAGAUCCAAAAACCUACUGCAUUUUCCACUCUCUCUUUCAAGUUUCCAGAAUGGAAGAAGAAGAGAAACCCUCAACAGAGCUAACCCUAGCCACUACUUCCAGUGCACCUCAGUCUCAGUGCCCACCAGAAGAUAUAGUUUGGACAACUUUGACUUUGGGGCUUCCAUCUUCAACCUCCGAGAAGAGAGAAGCAGUGGAUCAAAACCCUGCUCCUUCCAUGAAAAAGGGCCCUUGGGAGAUCAAGAAGAGGUUGACCACAAGCGACCUUCGAAACCGGUGCAAGCUUUUGGCUAGAAGUUUGGAGAAACAUGUUAUGCCCUGCUUGGAUGAGGAGUUUGGACAAAGGGUUUCGAGCAGAGAGGGUGCAAGGGUUAUAGUUUACGAUUGCGAUACAAAUUCCAACCAUCAACUGAUUCUCAAGUAUUACAAGAGCUCCGACAGUUAUGUUUUCGGUAGAAAGUGGGGGAAGUUUGUGAGGAGGAGAGACUUGAACAUGGGUGACGAAAUUGGGCUCAGCUGGGAUGUUCUCGACUCCAGGUUCUUGUUUUCGGUUCUUCAACGGGCAAACCAACAACCUGCUAGCUCUUCAUCGAAUUCAAGAACGAAGCAUAAAUGA